GACGGAGGGUGCAAGCGUUGUUCGGAAUUACUGGGCGUAAAGGGUGCGUAGGCGGUUCUUUAAGUCAGGGGUGAAAGCCUGAGGCUCAACCUCAGAAUUGCCUUUGAUACUGAAGAUCUUGAGUCCGGAAGAGGUAAGUGGAACUGCGAGUGUAGAGGUGAAAUUCGUAGAUAUUCGCAAGAACACCAGUGGCGAAGGCGGCUUACUGGUCCGGUACUGACGCUGAGGCGCGAAAGCGUGGGGAGCAAACAGG
rnacentral:rRNA from 1 species